rnacentral:misc_RNA from 1 species
CCGAGUUUACAACUCCCAAACCCCUGUGAACAUACCACUUGUUGCCUCGGCGGAUCAGCCCGCUCCCCGGUAAAACGGGACGGCCCGCCAGAGGACCCCCUAAACUCUGUUUCUAUAUGUAACUUCUACUUCUGAGUAAAAACCAUAAAUAAAUCAA